rnacentral:lncRNA from 1 species
GGACAAUGGGGGUGUCCCCAUGCCAGGACCUGGGACAUUGGCGUGUCCCCAUGCCAGGGCUUGGCGACAAUGGGGUGUCCCCAUGCCAGGACCUGGGACAAUGGGGGUGUCCCCAUGCCAGGACCUGGGACAUUGGUGUGUCCCCAUGCCAGGGCUUGGGGCAGUGGGGGUGUCCCCAUGCCAGGACCUGGGACAUUGGUGUGUCCCCAUGCCAGGGCUUGGGGACAAUGGGGUGUCCCCAUGCCAGGACCUGGGG